GACGAACCGUGCAAACGUUGUUCGGAAUCACUGGGCUUAAAGGGCGCGUAGGCGGGCGGGCAAGUCAGGGGUGAAAUCCCACGGCUCAACCGUGGAAGUGCCUUUGAUACUGCUCGUCUGGAGGGAGGUAGGGGCGUGCGGAAUUCCAGGUGUAGCGGUGAAAUGCGUAGAUAUCUGGAGGAACACCGGUGGCGAAGGCGGCAUCCUGGACCAACACUGACGCUGAGGAGCGAAAGCCAGGGGAGCAAACGGG
rnacentral:rRNA from 1 species